AUUUGAUUCUCAGUUCUAUAAUUUGUAUUUAAUAACGAACGAUUCCCCCAAUAAAUCAGGCGCAGCAUGGGCAUGCCAACAUGACCCAGCAAAUUGGCAAAGUGAAUAGAGCAAGGCAGGAAGCCCAAGAGCAAUAAUUAUAUACACUCAUAUUUAUACGUUUAUGUGACACUCAAACACACACACACACACAUAGAUCGCCAAAGCGUUUUGCAUGAGCGCGCAAAAUGCGAAAAGGAAAAGCGGCGCAAAGAAAAAGGAAAAACAAUCACAAUUCACAAUUCAGUUGGGUGUCGAAGUGCUUCGGGCACGCGACCAGCAACCAACGUUCCUUUAUUAUUGUUGUUGUUGUUGUAGCUGCUGCUGCUGCCAUUGUUGUUACUAAUGUCCUUGCUGUGCACAGUCGCUGUCGCUGUCGCAGUCGCUGUCGCAGUCGCAUAGUUGCCGGUGCAUAGCGUCAAUGCUACAAAGGGUCAUUUUCCACAUAGGCAAACACACAUUGGCAUGUGCGCCAUGGAAAUCACAAUGCACGCCAUUGCAAGCAGCCAACAACCACCCAACAACACACACACGCACACGCACAAAAGUCGAUCGGAAUCGAAGCCCAAAUAAAAAUGUAGCCAGGUGCAUUUUCAAACACUAACCAAAAUGUCGUAGGGCGCACACGAGCCAAAACCAAACCAAGCCGUAAACCAGCGAAGGGUAUUAAGGGGAGAAAACAGAAUUCGAGCCCCUUGAUAUAGACCAGAAUAUAAACCAGAGCUCAAGCGUAGCGCGAUU